GCUGCCCGCCUUGCGCGGGGGGAGGAAAGUCCGAGCAACAAAGAGCACCGCACGAGUUAACGGCUCGACGCUCGAGAGGGUGUAGUAGUGUAACAGAAAAUAACCGCCCAGGGGUGAGAUGGUAUCGUUUCAUACUUCUCAAAUGUUUGGAUACUAAACUUUUACACUCCCGUCAAGCCCUUGGGUAAGGGUGAAAAGGUGGGGUAAGAGCCCACCGCAGCGGCAGCAAUGUCGUCUGGCAGUACGCCUUGCGGGUUGCAAGACCAUGUAUACCGACAAUUAAGGGUUGCUCGUCCAAUGUCGGGGGGUAGGUUGCUAGAGGCUGCGGGUGACCGUAGUCGUAGAUAAAUGAUAGAGGCCCUCUCGGGGGUACAGAACUCGGCUUAUAGCG
rnacentral:RNase_P_RNA from 1 species